rnacentral:ncRNA from 1 species
GCGCAUGCCUGGAACUUCGGGCCUUUCCCGAGUAAUCGGGAUCGAACAUCAGGUGAAUUCGGGGAAACUCUUAAGAACGCAUUUUAAGACAAUCCCGAGCCAAGCCGAGCACAUGAUAUAUUAUGUGCUCGGAAGGUGUAGAGACUAUCCCUUUACGGGAGUACUGGUCGCCUUAGGCGACUGGGAAGCGCCUGACCCCCUCGAAAGCGCAGGGGUGAUGAUAUAGUCCACUCUUUGGAAGAGCAUGG